CACUCUGGAGAGAGGUGCAGCGCACCCGCCGAAGGGAUAACGAUCUCAGGCAAAAGGACAGAGGGGG
rnacentral:ncRNA from 1 species